ACCAGAACCACUUCAUUAAGCUAUAGUGUCCCUUUAAUGUGAUGUAAAUUAUAGAUUAGUGUCACUAAUAAUAUACUAGAUUGCCUACUUACAAGCAGAUGAGGAUGAUGAUGGGCUGCAGUUUGGCUCCACUGGUCUGGUGUAGAACAGGAUCUCUGGAGGCUGUUUGCAACUGUGGUCACAAAAUUCAGUGUUCUGGGAGAAUUGGAAGCAGCUCAAUUUUUUGGGGACCCUUACACAGCUCAAGGUCUGGGCCCCAGGGCCUGACGGUGAGUAUGCCCAUAAGGCCCACUCAUAAGUUCCACCCACCCAUGAGUUCGCUCACAGGGAGUGGAGUG